UAGGGAAUAUUGGUCAAUGGAUGGAAGUCUGAACCAGCCAUGCCGCGUGCAGGAAGACGGCCUUCUGGGUUGUAAACUGCUUUUGCCAGGGGCUAAAAAGUCUCAUGCGUGAGAAAUUGAAAGUACCUGGUGAAUAAGCCACGGCUAACUACGUGCCAGCAGCCGCGGUAAUACGUAGGUGGCAAGCGUUGUCCGGAUUUAUUGGGUUUAAAGGGUGCGUAGGCGGCUUUGUAAGUCAGUGGUGAAAUAUGGCAGCUCAACUGUCAGGGUGCCAUUGAUACUGCGGAGCUUGAGUACAGAUGAGGUAGGCGGAAUUGACGGUGUAGCGGUGAAAUGCUUAGAUAUCGUCAAGAACACCGAUAGCGAAGGCAGCUUACUAGGCUGUAACUGACGCUGAGGCACGAAAGUGUGGGGAUCAAACGAGGAUUAGAUACCCUGGUAGUCCACACUGUAAACGUUGAUGACUCGCUGUUGG
rnacentral:rRNA from 1 species